rnacentral:lncRNA from 1 species
AACGGUUUUUCUUAUGAUAAAUGAAUUUACUUAAAUCAAGAGCUUCAUUAGUUGUUUUAAUGAUUUUUACCAACCUUCAGUUUCUGUAUUAGUGAGUAGUGUGAUAUUCUUACUAGGGUAGUGUAGCUCACCCUUUCAUUAACUAUUUUAUAUUAAGAUGAUCAAGAUCCAGAUCUCGAUCAACAAGAGGGUUGUGAAUAAGUUCACCACUCGGACUCCCUUCAAAAGCUAGUGAAGGUUGUCCUAGAAUACUCAGUUAUUUACUUUUUAUUUAUUUUCUUAAUUUUUGUAAUUUUUUUUAGAAGAGACAUUCCCGUAAUCCU